CAGAGUUGCAAAACUCCCUAAACCAUUGUGAACGUUACCUAAACCGUUGCUUCGGCGGGCGGCCCCGGGGUUUACCCCCCGGGCGCCCCUGGGCCCCACCGCGGGCGCCCGCCGGAGGUCACCAAACUCUUGAUAAUUUAUGGCCUCUCUGAGUCUUCUGUACUGAAUAAGUCA
rnacentral:misc_RNA from 1 species